UGGAAGACAAACUGAAUGCCAGGGAAAUUAUUAAUUUGAGCUCUGGUUGGAGCUUUUGAUAAUCUUUGUGAGACCUCCGUCGUCCGAGAACCAUGAUUCUUGAUUCUCGUACACCAUCGCUGAGAGAGCUACACAUCCAGAUCCCGAAGCAGGAGCCACCCACAUGACCUGAAUUUCGGUCUUGGGCAAAUCAUCGGCUUCUGAAACUGUAUUCACGCACUUCUCAUUGAAUGUGGUCAGGGAAUCACCAAAGAGCUGGAAGCGUCCAACUCUCUUGGGACUGGCCAUGGAGAAGAUGGCAGUGUUGAGAUUUGGAGUGGAAGAAGCCUGAACACUGAGCAUAAAGUGCGUGAAUUGCUGCAAACGCAAAUGUGUUCGAGAUCCCAGCAAAAAGAGAUUGUAAAUCUUCCCAGGUUCAUAUCCAUUGGGUUCCCCACCAAUUAUCAACCGAUACCCAUUGUCACCCCUCGUCCGGCGACUGUAGUUCUCAAAUGGUGGCACUUUUCGACAUCCUGACACCUCCUGAGCCACAAAAAGCACAAAAACUAGCAAGAAAAUCCCCUUGAGGACCAUUUCUGGCGAUUUACGGAACACAACUGCUGAGAGCACGAGAGAUAAUCUCAAUUGACGCCUCCAGGCUCACCAAUUAGCAUCUUCUCUUGAGGCAUCUUGCGGCCUCGAGCUCCAUAGUCGCAAUUGAGAAAAGGCAACCUCUGACCUCGUCUGAGAGUCUCAGUGCGAUAAGAAGUUACCCCAGAGAGUUAAAAUGACUCUCAGCUCCCGGAAAAUCUCUUUAAAAAAAAACCAAUAUCUCUCUUUUCAAUCGAGGAAUCUUUAUUAUUUUUUUUAAUCUAUUAUAGUAAAAUUCAUUGAAGGCUCUUAAGCCAAAUUGGUAUCAUAAUGAAUAUAAAUAUCUCUUUUAUCGCUUUUUAUCUCAUAAAAAAAAUCACUCAAAAGAAAACUAUUUUAAAUCCCACAAAAAAAACAAA